CGUCAGGUGGCAACGCCACGGCCCAACUGAGUGCGCUUCAAGGCGAGUGUCGAAUGCGGGCGGCAAAGCGAAAAAGAAAACGUCGAGCUUAGGCAGCCGCAACUGCUUCAAAAUCCAAUUAACGCUGCCAAACGCUGCACAAUGUGUGCCGGCCUCUGUGUGUGUCCGAGUGCGAGUGUGUGUGUGUGUGUGAAGCUCCCAAAGGAUAAUAAGCAGCUUAGUCUCGAGUCCAGGCGAACGCGUCGAUGCGCAGCAGCAAGAAUAAAGAACUAUGGGAAAAAUUGCUAGCACCAAAUCGAAAGCGUAUGUCGCUGGCCUGGCCAGAGUGUGAGUGAGAGAGAGAGAGAGAGAGAGAGAGGUCACAUCGUCAUAUGGCUGAGCAGAUUUCCCUCAGGUAUUGGAGCGUGAUGAAGAGCGGGCGAGCGGCUUAACAAGGAUUAGGCAACGCCUGACGCCCGGAUGAACGAUGAUAUCAGCUAAUUGGCAAUGUGGUUCGCCUGUCGCUCUCUCCCUGGCAACUGGCGAAGGACAGCCAAGAAUAAUGCCCAAUAAGCAGGCAGCCAGGCAGCCAGGCAGGCCAACAGCUGCAGAACGCACUGGCUGCAGCUCGGGAUGUGUCGCCAGUUGCAAGUGACAAUUUAUUAAUAAACAGCAACAACAGGAGGAGGAGCAGCAACAGCAGCAGCAGGAGGACAAGGAGGAGCAGC